rnacentral:rRNA from 1 species
AUUGAACGCUGGUGGCAUGCCUUACACAUGCAAGUCGAACGGCAGCACGGGUGCUUGCACCUGGUGGCGAGUGGCGAACGGGUGAGUAAUACAUCGGAACAUGUCCUGUAGUGGGGGAUAGCCCGGCGAAAGCCGGAUUAAUACCGCAUACGAUCUACGGAUGAAAGCGGGGGCCCUUCGGGCCUCGCGCUAUAGGGUUGGCCGAUGGCUGAUUAGCUCGUUGGUGGGGUAAAGGCCUACCAAGGCGACGAUCAGUAGCUGGUCUGAGAGGACGACCAGCCACACUGGGACUGAGACACGGCCCAGACUCCUACGGGAGGCAGCAGUGGGGAAUUUUGGACAAUGGGCGAAAGCCUGAUCCAGCAAUGCCGCGUGUGUGAAGAAGGCCUUCGGGUUGUUAAGCACUUUUGUGCGGAAAGAAAUCCUUGGCCCUAAUACGGUCGGGGGAUGACGGUACCGGAAGAAUAAGCACCGGCUAACUACGUG